GCCUGGGUGGCUCAGUCGGUUGAGCGUCUGACUUCAGCUCAGGUGACGAUCUCACAGUCUGGGAGUUCGAGCCCCGCGUCAGGCU
rnacentral:tRNA from 1 species